CCGUCCGUCAAAUUACUACACUACGUGUCUUUCAGGGGUAUUUUCCUCCAGGAUAUUUUGCUCCGAGGAACUUUGUUCAGGAAUAUUUUAGUCUCUGGGGUUUUUUCCCCUGGAUUGUUCCCCCGAUGUCUGUUUUUCUUUCACUGAUUUCGUGUCACGUGUUUGUUCACAUGACUGAAGGCCGUAAAUCAUUCGUAGUUAAAAGCGUUCCAGCACGAAACUCACUUCCAUUGAAGUUAAGACAGAUACAGGACAAUAAUGUUUUUAGGAAAACCGACGUUGUGACGUUGCCGGAUUUCUCAGUAUGCUAUUUACAUGGAAAUAAAUAUCGCUUCCACGAAAUGACAUAAUACAAUCCGAGUGAUAUAUAUUGCCCCUUAUUUAUGUGAAACAUUGAAACUAAAUCGAAAACAACAUACAAGAACUACGCGAUACGCUGAAGUCAAUUUCAUCUGCCCAAAGUACAAAAGGGAAACUGAAGGUGGUAGAACCUUUACUGCAACUACAAUUAAACUUUGGAAUAGUCUGCCACGGAAUUUAACGGCAUGUCUGUCUUCUUAAUAGCAUAUAUGUAUAGAUAGUUUAUAUGAACAGUAAUGAUCUCUUUGCCACUUUUAGCAGUACUGUGGCUGUGCAUGCAUAGUGUAUAGUUCGUAGGUAUCAAUAAUAUAUUCUUGUAAAUAUACACACAUAUUGUAGAUAACUUCAUUUUAUACUAGUUUUAGAGAUAUUCGUAUAGAAUUUGUUUAUAUUUUAGAUAAGAGGGCUAGCUUUAGCACUGUUACCACGCUCAUUGUCAUUGAAUCUACCAAAGUUAAAUUUAAAGGGCUAUUCCAUUUAAUAUCCGUACCCCCCCCCCUGUCGAGGAUCCCUGGAAUUCUUCAGGGGUAAAGGGUUUUGAGCUUGGAAUUCUUCAAGGGUAAAGUGUUUUGAUCUUGGAAUUCUUCAGGGGUAAAGUGUUUUGAGUUUGGAAUUCUUCAGGGGUAAAGGGUUUUGAGCUUGGAAUUCUUCAGGGGGGAAGGGUUUUGAGCUUGGAAUUCUUCAGGGGUAAAGGGUUUUGAGCUUGGAAUUUUGGAAUUCUUCAGGGGUAAAAGGUUUUGAGCUUGG
rnacentral:lncRNA from 1 species